rnacentral:lncRNA from 1 species
CCGGCUGGGCUUCUCGGAGGUGGAGCAGGUGCAGAUGGUGGUGGACGGCGUCAAGCUCAUGGUGGAGAUGGAGAAGAAGCUGGAGCAGAACCAGCCCAUAGACGACAUGAUCCCGGCCCAGAAGUAACCCCACAGCCGCCCCACGGCUGCCCCAUGGCUGCCCCACGGCCGCCUGGGGAGGGGGGGGGGACCCCGAGCUGUGCUGCAAUAAAGCGGGGCUCUAUGGCUGCCUA